UUGCAAUGACACGUCGGGAAACUCCCUAAUGGGCCCCCUUACUAGCCGGCAUCGACGUGCGGUCCCGGUCAAACACAGAUAAAAAAAUGAAGCGCACAUAUCUCUGGGCACACGAAAAGAAAAAAACAAAAAACAAGAAGAGGAUGAAAAGAAAAACCGUGACAGUGGUGCUUUGUUAAAGUUUUUUGUCCCACAACAACAACAACAACAACAGCAACAGCAGCAACAGCAGACCUCCACACAUCAAACAAUAUCAACCUCAGAUCAUGAGGGGGACCUUGAGGAAGAUGAGCAGGACAUGAUGGCAACUUCAUGCAGCAGCAGCAUGGCAGCACCUUUACAAUUUGAGGCCACACCACCUCUUCAUCGCCUGUGACACCACAUCACCAGAAGGUACUCAAAUAAAAUAAAAUCUAAUAAUAUCAGAUGAUCCUGUGCUGUGGCCAAAAGCCAUCAACGACAAUGCUCGGUGACAAAUUGUGAGAAAAGGACCACUCCAAAUAACAGACAUGGACUUUAUCAUUCUGAAAAUUUUGCACAUUUCAGUUAUGUUUGUUUUUCUGUUAUUUAUAUAUUGUAUGUAAAGUUUGCAUUCAGACAGUUAUGUUAUUUAUUAUUUAUUUUAUAUGUUAAUUGUUUAAUAAAAGAUUUCUUUUGGA